rnacentral:rRNA from 1 species
GCAGUCGAACGAAGUAGCAAUACUUAGUGGCAGACGGGUGAGUAGCAUGUGGGUAUCUGCCCUUUGGCCUGGAAUAACACGAGGAAACUUGUGCUAAUACCGGAUAAGUCUUUACGGAGAAAGCUUUAUGCACCAUUGGAUGAGCCCGCACUUGAUUAGUUUGUUGGUAGGGUAAUGGCCUACCAAGACUGUGAUCAAUAGCUGAUUUGAGAGAAUGAUCAGCCACAUUGGGACUGAGACACGGCCCAAACUCCUACGGGAGGCAGCAGUGGGGAAUCUUGCACAAUGGAGGAAACUCUGAUGCAGCGAUGCCGCGUGAGUGAAGAAGGCCUUUGGGUUGUAAAGCUCUUUCGUCGGGGAAGAAAAUGACUGUACCCGAAUAAGAAGGUCCGGCUAACUUCGUGCCAGCAGCCGCGGUAAUACGAAGGGACCUAGCGUAGUUCGGAAUUACUGGGCUUAAAGAGUUCGUAGGUGGUUGAAAAAGUUGGUGGUGAAAUCCCAGAGCUUAACUCUGGAGCUGCCAUCAAAACUUUUCAGCUAGAGUUUGAUAGAGGAAAGCAGAAUUUCUAGUGUAGAGGUGAAAUUCGUAGAUAUUAGAAAGAAUACCAAUUGCGAAGGCAGCUUUCUGGAUCAUUACUGACGCUGAGGAACGAAAGCAUGGGUAGCGAAGAGGAUUAGAUACCCUCGUAGUCCAUGCCGUAAACGAUGUGUGUUAGACGUUGGAAAUUUAUUUUCAGUGUCGCAGCGAAAGCGAUAAACACGCCGCCUGGGGAGUACGACCGCAAGGUUAAAACUCAAAUGAAUUGACGGGGACCCGCACAAGUAGUGGAGCAUGUGGUUUAAUUCGAAGAUACGCGCAGAACCUUACCAACACUUGACAUGUUCGUCGCGACUUUAAGAGAUUAAAGUUUUCGGUUCGGCCGGAC